UGCUUCAUACAAUUGGGUAUGGGGGAUGGAAAUUGUUGUCAACAGUCCUUGCGAAAUUUCUUCAAGAAUUUCUGCG
rnacentral:sRNA from 12 species